rnacentral:rRNA from 1 species
UGGGGAAUUUUGCACAAUGGGGGAAACCCUGAUGCAGCGACGCCGCGUGAUUUACAAGGCCUUCGGGUUGUAAAAAUCUUUUCUAUGGGAAGAAAAUGACAGUACCAUAGGAAUAAGGUCCGGCUAAAUACGUGCCAGCAGCCGCGGUAAUACGUAUGGACCGAGCGUUGUCCGGAAUCAUUGGGCGUAAAGGGUACGUAGGCGGCCCAGUAAGUUAGAAGUGAAAUAAUAUAGCUCAACUAUAUAAAGCUUUUAAAACUGCUAGGCUUGAGAGAUGGAAGGGAAAGUGGAAUUCCUAGUGUAGCGAUGAAAUGCGCAGAUAUUAGGAAGAAUACCGGUGGCGAAGGCGACUUUCUGGUCAUCAUCUGACGCUGAGGUACGAAAGCGUGGGUAGCAAACAGG